rnacentral:rRNA from 1 species
UACGUAGGGGGCGAGCGUUAUCCGGAUUCACUGGGUGUAAAGGGAGCGUAGACGGCAGGGCAAGUCUGGAGUGAAAGGCAGGGGCCCAACCCCUGGACUGCUCUGGAAACUGUCCGGCUGGAGUGCAGGAGAGGUAAGUGGAAUUCCUAGUGUAGCGGUGAAAUGCGUAGAUAUUAGGAGGAACACCAGUGGCGAAGGCGGCUUACUGGACUGUAACUGACGUUGAGGCUCGAAAGCGUGGGGAGCAAACAGG